UACUGGAUAGGCUUUGGCCGGUGCCUCAGGCCUGCUGCUUUGCCCAGUGGCUGUAUCUUUCCUGUUAGCAUGCUGAUCAUACUUGGAAAUUAUGAGUCAGUGAAAUGCAGCCGCUAGCAGUGGGGGUGGGAAGAUUACCAGGGAAAGUGCAGCCAAGACUCCCUGCGCGAACUCAGGGUCAUUCUCUUCGGGGGAAGAUUUGGGACCUGGAGUGACCUCAGUGAAAUGAACAAGAGUUGGAACUUGUCUGACAUCACUCUGUGGCUCACUCGAUACGUACACAAUGCCCUGUACAUAGCAGAUGCUCAGUAAAGACCUCUGGACUGGCUGAAGACACUUUUAUACAUUCAUGCAACUGGGAAUAUUGGGAGAGUGGCGGGGCCUAAAUUCCCCUCCCCUCACCACUCCCAUGGAAAUCUGAAUUUCUUAAAUGUAAUUGAAGAGAGCCUCAGGCUCACGCUGUUUCUGCCAAGUGUUAAUUAUGUGUGGAAUCCAAGGGGAUUUCCGUGUAUGGAUUACAAGGGGUACAAUGAGGGGACAUUAAGAAAGACAGCUGUGGAGCAGGAAGACACUCCUUUAUAAACUUUCAAAGACCA